GGGCAUGGUCCCAGAAUAUGAAGCAUGAUGAAAAGGCUUCCCAGGAACUGGCACUGGUGGUCCCCAUGGCAUUGAGCCAAAGAGGUGAGAAUAUAUUAACAACUUGGAUAUAAAGAGGAUCAAAUAACCUUUCCUAUCGUCCGUGGUUCUCAAGUUUCAGAGCGACUCCCAUGAGAAAGAUUCACCAAGGCACUUGUUGGCAGUCGAUAACCUCUACCAGGGUCAGCUCAAUUUCCUGCCUCCUCAAACCACCUGAGUCUGGCUUCAGCAUCCACAAUUACACUAAAAUGCAAAUCUGAUCAUGUCACAGCUUUGAUUUUGAUGAUUUCACAUUGCUUUAAGGAUGAAGAUCAAGAUACCAAAAUCUUAACAUGUCCUCAAAGUUGGCUUACA